GGUCCAAAGCCCAUUCUACAAAUCUGAAAACGAGAGAAGGAGAUUAGGUUUUAAUUGGAAUUAGGGGUUCUAAAGAAAGGGAGAAGAUGAAGGGGAGGGAUCCCUCCACUUACUCCACGUCAUGACCAUUCAUUCUUGGAAAUCCAAUUGUUUGAAUUGGUGAGGACAAAAUUGGAUGGCUAAGAUGAAGAGUAAGUGUUUUUUGGAGUAAGUAGAUCCCUCCCCGAAAAUGAAUGCCUUAGCUGCACCUCCUCCAUGAACCGCUGUUGGGGGGAAACGACAUUGUGAAGACGUCGGAGCCGCCGCAUGAGCCUGCUCGUGGCAGACCCCGGAACCCGUUACGGAGAUGAGCGGCGGCAGUACCCCUGAGUUCAAAACCCAUGGAUUCACAUCUGCGUGUUUAAAGAAAACGCAAGAACAAGAAAGAAAAGAAAAAUGAUACAAUUUCAAAGUGGAUGAGAAUGAAGAAUGUGGCAAUCCUUCAUGCAUGGAUGUUCAUAACAAGAGUAUUUAGU